rnacentral:rRNA from 1 species
GAUGAACGCUAGCUACAGGCUUAACACAUGCAAGUCGAGGGGCAGCGCAGUGUAGUAAUACAUGGGCGGCGACCGGCGCACGGGUGCGUAACGCGUAUCCAACCUUCCCGUUACUCAGGGAUAGCCUUCCGAAAGGGAGAUUAAUACCUGAUGGUGUUCAAAUUCCGCAUGUUAUUUGAACUAAAGAUUUAUCGGUAGCGGAUGGGGAUGCGUGACAUUAGAUAGUAGGCGGGGUAACGGCCCACCUAGUCUACGAUGUCUAGGGGUUCUGAGAGGAAGGUCCCCCACACUGGAACUGAGACACGGUCCAGACUCCUACGGGAGGCAGCAGUGAGGAAUAUUGGUCAAUGGUCGGAAGACUGAACCAGCCAAGUAGCGUGAAGGAUGAAGGUUCUAUGGAUUGUAAACUUCUUUUAUACGGGAAUAAAACCUCCCACGUGUGGGAGCUUGUAUGUACCGUAUGAAUAAGCAUCGGCUAACUCCGUG